rnacentral:lncRNA from 1 species
CCUGCCCAGUGCCUGCGAUUGCAGGCACGCGCCGCCACGCCUGACUGGUUUUUGUAUUUUUUUGGUGGAGAGGGGGUUUCGCUGUGUUGGCCGGGCUGGUCUCCAGCUCCUAACCGUGAGUGAUCUGCCAGCCUCGGCCUCCCGAGGUGCCGGGAUUGCAGACGGAGUCUCGUUCACUCAGUGCUCAAUGUUGUUGCCCAGGCUGGAGUGCAGUGGCGUGAUCUUGGCUAGCUACAGCCUCCACCUCCCAGCCGCCUGCCUUGGCCUCCCAAAGUGCCGAGAUUGCAGCCUCUGCCCGGCUGCCACCCCGUCUGGGAUGUGAGGAGCGUCUCUGCCUGGCUGCCCAUCGUCUGGGAUGUGAGGAGCCCCUCUGCCCGGCUGCCCACUCUGGGAAGUGAGGAGGGCCUCUUCCCCGCCGCCAUCCCGUCUAAGAAGUGAGGAGCGUCUCUGCCCGGCUGCCCAUCGUCUGAGAUGUGGGGAGCGCCUCUGCCCCGCCGCCCCAUCUGGGAUGUGAGGAGCGCCUCUGCCCGGCCGCAACCCCAUCUGGGAGGUGAGGAGCGUCUCUGCCCGGCUGCCCUGUCUGAGAAGUGAGGAGCCCCUCCACCUGGCAGCCACCCCAUCUGAGAAGUGAGGAUCCCCUCCGCCCGGCAGCCGCCCUGUCUGAGAAGUGAGGAGCGCCUCCGCCCGGCAGCCGCCCCGUCUGAGAAAUUUUUGGAUCCUAGGAAGAUUUCCUGCACACCUAGGUUAUAAGAGUAUUUACUAUUAUUUUCGUCUGGUACCUGUCUGUUUAGAUUUCUGAUCCAUUUGAAAUUUAUCCUGGUAAACAGUAUGAGAAACAGACUCAAUUUUAUAUUUUUUCAGAUGGCUAUUCAGUUGUCCCAAUUCUAUGUAUAUAAAAAUUCAAUUCCCCAUGCACACUUACCAAUUAAAAUUUAUUAACGUACUUGGUUCUAUUUCUAGACUUGAUUCUGUUUCAUUGGUCUACACGUUUAUGCACCAACACCACACUUUAAAUUACAGACGUUUUAUAAUAUAUUUUAAUAUUGGAUGGGGCUAACGCCCCACUCCACAUGGCACUAAAAUAUUUUCCAGUGAAAACUUUUAUUUAAGUAGAAUUAAGAUUACUCAGGCAUGAUGCUACAUGCCUGUAAUCCCAGC